AUCUCCAAGCUCGCCUUCUCUGUGUUCGCUGGUGUCGAUUCCUUUGUUGUCGCCGUUGCUCGCCUUCCUCCUCGCCGCCGUAAAGCGCCAGGUAUCGAUGGCUACAAUAUGAAUUUCAUAAAGAAAUACUGGGGUGA